rnacentral:rRNA from 1 species
GACGAACGCUGGCGGCGUGCUUAACACAUGCAAGUCGAACGGAAAGGCCCUGCUUUUGUGGGGUGCUCGAGUGGCGAACGGGUGAGUAACACGUGAGUAACCUGCCCUUGACUUUGGGAUAACUUCAGGAAACUGGGGCUAAUACCGGAUAGGAGCGCCUGCUGCAUGGUGGGGGUUGGAAAGUUUCGGCGGUUGGGGAUGGACUCGCGGCUUAUCAGCUUGUUGGUGGGGUAGUGGCUUACCAAGGCUUUGACGGGUAGCCGGCCUGAGAGGGUGACCGGACACAUUGGGACUGAGAUACGGCCCAGACUCCUACGGGAGGCAGCAGUGGGGAAUAUUGCACAAUGGGCGGAAGCCUGAUGCAGCAACGCCGCGUGCGGGAUGACGGCCUUCGGGUUGUAAACCGCUUUCGCCUGUGACGAAGCGUGAGUGACGGUAAUGGGUAAAGAAGCACCGGCUAACUACGUG